UCCAAUGUGGUGUAGUGGCCAACAUUGCUGUCUUUCACACCAGAAUGAAUUCGCACAGCAGCCCGGGGUUCGAUUCCCCGCAUUGGAA